rnacentral:lncRNA from 1 species
GGGAGCCGACGUCUAGGAAGCUAAACCGAUUGACGUUUGAUUUCCUGUCAGGGAUGUUCACGACAGUUGUGAUGGGGCGCCGACGUCUAUAAUAAUGUAGACGUCGGUGCCCUUCUAGUCGACGUCUAAUGCCCUCGAGUUGGGUGAACAUAAUUAAUUACAGGCACAAAGACAUCGCUUCCCCUCAACACCGACGUCUAAAUUGAAGAAUUUUUUGGCUUCCCGCCUUCCAGACAGGCCUUAGACGUUGCUUCCCCU